rnacentral:rRNA from 1 species
UACGUAGGGGGCUAGCGUUGUCCGGAUUUAUUGGGCGUAAAGAGCGUGUAGGCGGCCAUGUAGGUCCGGUGUGAAAACUCGAGGCUUAACCUCGAGAUGUCAUCGGAAACCAUUUGGCUAGAGAUCGAGAGAGGAUAGUGGAAUUCCUAGUGUAGAGGUGAAAUUCGUAGAUAUUAGGAGGAACACCAGUGGCGAAGGCGGCUAUCUGGCUCGAUACUGACGCUCAUGUGCGAAAGCGUGGGGAGCAAACAGG